UGUUUUCCUCAUGCCUUAAGGAGCACCAGGAGGAGGCAGAGAAACAUGUUUUUUCCACAGAUUAUCUGAUUUGUGUAAGCAGAUAUUAAAAUAGUU